GUUGCAACUCUUAUAUAAGUCCAUUAUUUUUCUGUAUCCAAGACUGGACAGGAUGGAAGCAAAGAGGGUGCCUGAGGGAUACACAAGUCAGAAACCAAUGGCUGCAAGACCAGAGAUGCAGAAUCCUCCAAGGAGAGGGCAGUCUGGAUCCUGGGGACCUCCUCUGUUAACUGGACGAUUUUGCAUGCCCUACCCUAGAGGCGCCCCGCCCCCAUAGACUAUUAGGCACAUCCACCUCCUGAACCUUGGUGGCCCUGGGGCCACCCCAAACCCCUCCACCUGCAACACUUGGGCCUUUAGCAGAUCCAGAAGCAGGUGUCACUUCCAAGAGUGACAUCAACACUGGCUCUACCAAAACUGCCAAGAAGCAUAAGGCCAUUAUGUAUGCAAGAGGGCCUGUUCCUUUCCCAGGAUUGCCUUGCAGGCUCUAUCCCAUGGACCGCCCUUCACUUCCAGUCAUGGGCUAUGGGCCACCUCCCUCUCUUCCACCUACUCUAUUUGCUAAGAUGACCUGAACUGGAUGAGUGGAUGGACAACUAUUCUGAAAUUUGAAGAGGACUGUGCAUGGAGACAGACUAUGGUGAUUACAUAUACAUUUUAAGCAGGUGUCAGAUCUGCCUGAAUGCUUUCCCUGCCCAUCCUGUCUGCUCCACUCUGUCGUUCCUACUGUCCGCUAAUCCACCUUUCAUCGUUCUAUCUCUGUGACAGCGUCUGCUUCUAGGACCAUCUACUCUCACUCCCCAUCGAGUGCACGCAGUGGGGUUCCUGUACACACAGGUAACAAAGUGUUACCAGAAAUGGUGGUGACAGAGGAAAGAAGCAAGAUCACCCUUUGUGCAGGGGAGCCCGAGGGAGUU